AAAACAACCAAACAAACACAGAAGAAAAUACUUGCCGACACCGAUACGAGAACACGACCAAGCCGAACACGAUUUGCGAACUUGGAGGAACAACGAAAUUGCAGCUUGUGAGCACUACAAAGAACGGAUCCGAGAAACGAUUGUAAGCACCAGAAAUCACAAUCGCAAGCCGGGAAGUGAUUACCAAGAAUCGAGAUCUGCCGAGAUGAUUUCAAGAGCGACCCAGUGGGGUGUUGCCGAAUAAAGCCAAGACUAACCUAAAACUCACAGGUUUGGUGAUGUUGGCUCACACGGAAGGGGGAAGAUUCGUCGGUGGUGGUGAGAUUUAUGGGUUUGGUUGACAUCAGUGUUUAUCUUUCUCGCAAACUUGUGGCGGUCUUUUUCUUCCUCGCAAACUUAAUCAUCUUCGUUACAAGAUUUUAGGGUUCCUUCCUCUUUCACGUUUGACCCACCAGGUUUUGAAAUUUGGGAACAAACAACAACUAUAUAUGCAUGGUGAUCAUGUGAUUUUUAAUGUUGAAGAAAGUUGGCAAAUGGCUAAGUUUUAUAGCAACAAGGGAAAUACGCCUGGUCUUUUCAAUUUGGGAAAUAUCCGUUAUAUGAAUUCAACAUUGCAAUGCCUCUAUUCUGGUCCAGUUUUCAAGUGUGGGAUACCGGGAUCGGUGUUUGUCUCUCUUUUCUCAUGCUUUUUAUUUUCAACAGGAUCCUUACAAAAGCAUAUUAAGGGCGUGUGUGGAGCAACCGUAACAUGGUAAACACCGGCGUGGAUUGAUGAAGAAGCACAACAGAUUUCUUAUCGACAAAAGCAUUUAGCGAAUACUGUGCCUCUGGAUUAUUGGCCUUGACCAGAGUGGGAAGCCGAAGAGUCAUCCAUAUAUCAGCCGGUUUUAUGAUUUUCUUCUCUGUAUUUGCGCGACAUCGACAAAUCUGCGGACAUGGAAAAUAAUAGCGUUCUCUCCAAGGACAUGGAACCGCGGUGUCGACGAAUCCGUCAUCCAAGAAAUCCCAACGUUCCAGUUCACAAAAGGGGCAGGCGGAGAUGAUUAUCGAAGUGUCAAAGGUUGUGUGGUUUGUUUGAAUUCUUUUCAAGAACAAAAGGAGCAGCCAAUUAAUGAAGUCCAACACGACACACUGCCCUUGCAGCCCAAAUCUGAGGUCCAUCGAAAAUCUCUAUCACUAUAGGUCUUUAAUCUUUCUUUGCAAUACUAACAAAUAUAUUUCUAUUUCUUAACUGACUUAUUUCAUUUAAACUCACCUAUUAUAUGAUUCAAAGCAGAAUCCGGGUACAAGUUCUGGCAUAAAUGCAUCUGAUGAAAUUCUUAAAGCUACCCCUCCUGUUUCAUUUUUGCAGUAUGCUUUAUUUCCCAACCCUUCUGAAAUUAAGGAAAAAAACUGGUGUCAUUGACAUGUUGUCGAGUUUGGGAUAUGUAAUUGUAUUUGCUAAUUUAGUACUUUAUGGGACAGGUCUGGAUUUUGAAUUGUUAUAGCUGAGUUUCUGUGAUGAUUUGGUUUUAAUGGUAGAAUUUGUUAGUGAACUGUUUUGAUAGUUGUAGAAAGGGAAGAGUCCCGCUUUGUGCCCAAAUACCAUUCAAUAGCAAAAACUGUUAUUCUCUCUGUAUUUCCUCUAUGCAAUUAUCUUAGCUCUACCAUAAUGUAUCCUGGAAAAAUCACAUUGGUGUUGCCUAUAGGCAAAGAACAUUGAAUACACGAUGUGCCAAAUACUGGUCGAAGAUAAAUUUUUAUUGGGUGUUCAAUGGCUUUUAAAACCUGUUGGAACUGUGGUCCAAAAUUCCAAUUCCAUUGUUGAGAAUUCAAAGUGUUUUUUGGCCACUAAAACUCUCUUUUCAAGGUUCAAUCUAUAUAUGCUUAUAGUUUUUUUUAUGACACAUGACAGGUAAUCACAAGGUUUCCACCAUUUGAUGAAGGAUCUCGCUUGAACUAUCAUCAUCUCGAAGAUUACUUGGCACUUCUUGGAAAGGUACUGAAUGCUGGUGAUGAUGCAUUUGGGUUAGAGAAACUAGAAGAAGAUUCCGAUGAACUAGCUCUUAAGAAUGCCCUUCGUUCUUAAUAUGGAGAACAGGACUAUGUGCGUGUAAUAGGUGAUGCUGGUGCCAACUUAUAUCCCAGCAGCAAUGCUGAAGUAGACUAAAAUGAACCUGAAGGUGCAUAUAAUUCUCUUUGUUCAAAGUUGAUUAAGGACAACAACGAGUUCGAAGUUUCCGCAAAGGAAACUUGGGAAAUAAGACUUGGUGAAUGCUUUGGAACGAUUGCAGAAAAGAAAUGUGUCAGCAUUGGGUACUCCAUUGAUAAAUUAAGCAAUAAGGAUUUGUGAUGUUAUUCUCAAUUGUAUUGAGUGGUAAUAUAUCAUUUUUUAUUGUUGAAAUUUGUUCACGUUAGUAUGUACUAUGUCUUAUGGGAGAACAAGUUCUUCAAUGCAUGAAUUUGUUAAAGUAUGGAUUAUGCAGGUUCCAAAUGUAAAAUGGGACGAUGUUGGUUGGCUUGAAGAUGUCAAAACUUCAAUCCUAGAUACAGUGGUUAUGUAUACAUGGUCUACAUUUCAUAAAUGUCACAUGUCAUAAGCUGAUUGAGUUGAA